AUGAAUUCCACAUGGGUUCCUCCUUCCAGUCUAACAAAUAUUGCACUUCGGUCAUGCCUUCUCGGGCCUAAAUUUCCAUUGUGGCUAAGAUGGCUAACACGUCUAGACAAUCUUGAUAUCUCAAACACGAGCAUAUCUGACACGGUGCCGGAUUGGUUUUGGACGUUGGCUUCCACAGUGAAAACUCUAAAUAUGCGACAUAACAAUAUUAGCGGCUAUUUACCAUCUACAAUGGAAUUUAUGAGAGCAACUGCAAUUGAUCUCAGUUCUAACCAGUUCAAUGGUCCAAUACCUAAGCUUCCCAUUAAUCUGACGGAUUUGUAUCUUAGUGGAAAUAAUUUAGUUGGGCCAUUACCAUUAGACUUUGGAGCACCGAGGCUUGUAACACUCAUUCUAUUUGACAACUCCAUCUCUGGCUCCAUUCCCUCUUCGUUGUGCAAACUGAGAUCACUACUUCUGUUGGACAUGUCCAAAAAUAAGCUAACCGGAACAAUGCCUGAUUGCUCUACAUCCAAAAAAAACAUGAAUAGUCUUAAUAUUCUUAAUCUAAGCCUCAGAAACAACAACCUCUCGGGUGGAUUCCCCUCAUUUCUCCAAUACUGCCAAAAACUCAUUUUUCUUGAUCUUUCACACAACCAUUUCUUUGGGACUUUGCCAACAUGGAUUCAGGAGAAAUUGCCAUAUUUGGCUUUCUUACGGCUGCGAUCAAAUAUGUUUUAUGGUCACAUUCCAGAGGAGCUUACAAAGCUAGUUAAUCUUCAGCAUUUGGAUCUUGCCUACAAUAACUUAACAGGGAGCAUAGCAAAAUCUAUUGUUAACUGCAAAGGGAUGAUAGCAACAAGAGAUGAUUAUGAUUAUGCAGUUUAUAGUGCUCUCGGUUAUGGAUGGUCAAUGGGCCUGAAUGAUUUCACCUAUACCGAGAAUGUCAUGGUAGUCACAAAGGGUCAAGAGAGAUUAUAUACAGGAGAGAUCAUGUAUAUGGUGAAUCUUGAUUUAUCCUGUAAUAACAUUAGUGGUGACAUUCCAGAAGAAAUAGGCACUCUUGUCGAAUUGAAGAACCUGAAUUUAUCAUGGAACACAUUCAGUGGAAAAAUUCCAGAGAACAUUGGUGCCUUGGUGCAAGUUGAGUCACUCGACCUAUCCAACAAUGAGUUGUCUGGUGAAAUCCCUCCAAGCUUAUCAGCUCUUAUGUCAUUAAGUUGGUUGAACCUGUCCUAUAACAACCUGACGGGAGAGGUACCAUCUGGAGAUCAACUUCAAACACUCAAGGAUCCAGAAUAUAUUUACAUUGGUAACUCAGGCCUUUGUGGACCUCCUCUCUCAAAGAAUUGUUCACAACCCAAGCGAAGUACAGCUACUCGAGAACACCAUGACGACGUAACCAAUGAGGUUUCAUUUUUCUUUGCUAUGGGUUCUGGAUACGUAAUGGGCAUCUGGGUAGUCUUCUGCAUCUUCUUGUUCAAGAGGAAAUGGAGAGUUAAUUGGUACUCGGUCUGCGACAGCUUGUAUGAUUGGGUCUAUGUACAAGUGGCCGUUACCUGGUCUUCUUGGACAAAAGAAAAAACUGCAGAAGCCGAGACCGAUUGCUAG
rnacentral:rRNA from 1 species